AUGGUAUACCUGCGCUUACAGCCAUAUGCCCAGUCUUCUGUGGUCAACCGUCCUUGUCCAAAGCUAGCUCUCAAAUACUUUGGCCCGUUCAAGGUGUUGGAAAAAGUGGGAAAUGCAGCAUACAAACUGGAGUUACCCCGUGGCAGUAUGGUCCACCCGGUGUUUCAUGUGUCUCAACUCAAGGGCCAUGUGCCGGAUCAUACUCCAGUGUUUACUACUCUUCCGGUUCCACUCGAUCUAUCAGCACCUGGUGUGAUACCUGAGGAGAUUCUGGAUCGCCGACUGGUCAAAAAGGGCAAUGCAUCUUAUCUUCAGAUACUGGUCAAGUGGUCGUCGAUCCCUGCGGCGUCAGCAACCUGGGAAGAUUACCAAGUACUCAAGGAGCGCUACCCAGAUGCACCAGCCUGGGGACAUGCUGGUUCUUCAGGGGGAGGUAUUGUAAGUACUCUGUAG
rnacentral:rRNA from 1 species